CCCUUAGAUGUCCUGGGCUGCACGCGCGCUACACUGGAAGUUACGGAUUGAGAUACUACCUUGUCCGAAAUGGUCCGGGUAAUCACCUAAAAGCUUGUCAUAAUUGGAAUGGAUUAUUGUAACUAGUAAUCCUGAACGAGGAAUUCCUAGUAAGUCCCAGUCAACAGCUGGUACUGAUUACGUCCCUGCCCUUUGUACACACCGCCCGUUGCUACUACUGAUUGGACGUUUAAGCAAGAUUUUUAAACACUGACAGUGUGUAGUUCACGCUAUACUACAGUGAGAAGAAGAAGAUCGAGCUUACUUGUCUAGAGGAAGUAAAAGUCGUAACA
rnacentral:rRNA from 1 species